rnacentral:lncRNA from 1 species
UCAUAGGGACUUAAAUGACUACAAAUCAUCUUUAUGUAUGAGGGAUAGCUUCUUCAGGACCAGCCAAAGAAGACAACCUGAGGAAGACUUCUCAACCAGAAAAAGAAUAAUACACGUUGUUGGAUCAACCCCUGAGCUCCUGAUGCAGUUGGAAAAUCAUUUCCGGUUAAGAUCUUUUUUAUUUUUCAGGAUGACCAAUAUGGGUCUAGUGCUUGGAGGGACUUCAGGGACUGUGGGUUUUCUUCAAGGAUGAGGGAUAGCUCCUUCAGGACCAGCCAAAGAAGACAACCUGAGGAGGACUUCUCACCCAGGAAAGGAAAAAUACAUGGUGCUGGAUCAACUCCCGAGCUUCUAAUGCAGGAUGACCAAUAUGGGUCUAGUGCCUGGAGGGACUUUAGGGACUGUGGGUUCUCUUUAAGGAUGAGGGAUAGCCCCUUCAGGACCAGCCAAAAAAGACGACCUGAGGAAGUCAUCUCACCCAGAAAAGGAAUAAUACACGGUGCUGGAUCAACUCCUGAGCUCCUGAUGCAGGAUGACCAAUAUGGGUCUAGUGCCUGGAGGGACUUUAGGGACUGUGGGUUCUUUUCAAGUAUGAGGGAUAGCCCCUUCAGGACCAGCCAAAGCAGACAACCUGAGGAAGACUUCUCACCCAGAAAAGGAAUAAUACACGGUGCUGGAUCACCUCCUGAGCUCCUGAUGCAGUACGACCAAUAUGGGUCCAGUGCCUGGAGGGACUUCAGGGACUGCAGGUUCUCUUCAGAGAUGAGGGAUAGCCCCUUCAGAACCAGCCAAAGAAGACAACAUGAGGAAGUCAUCUCACCCAGGAAAGGAAUAAUACACGGUGCUGGACCAGAACUCCAGAGCUCCUGAUGCAGGCUCCUAUACCGUGUCAGGCCGACCCAUAUGGGUUCUGUGCCCAGGUGGACUAUGGGUACUGGGGGUCCUAUCCACUGAGGGGGUGUACCCCUUGUGGGGUCAGCCAUAGAAGUCCUCCUAUACAGUGUCAGGAAGACCAAUAUGGGUUCAAUGCCCAGGUGGACUAUGGGGACUGGGGGUUGUAUCCACUGAGGAGGUGUACUCCCUUCUGGACCAGCCAAAGAAGACGACCUGAGGAGAGACAACCCGAGGAAAACACCUGGCACUAGGUGAACUCCUCAGUGUCUGAUGCAGUGGACGAUUGUUUCUUUAUUAUUAUAAAAUAUUAUAUAAUAUUACAUAAUAUUAUAUUAUAUUAUAUAUGUCUAAUUUAUAAAUAUCUAUUGUACUUACAUCUCUUGUGUGUGUGUGUGUGUGUGUGUGUGUAUGUGUGUGUGAGUGCUGAGUGUAAAUGUUAAAAAUGGAUUACUAUAUUAUAUUAUAUUAUAUUAUAUUAUAGUGGCGUAAAAAGGUAUCCCCCCCCACACACACAGAUUUCUUUUAUCUAAUAACUUGGUUGUGUCACCUUUGGCAGCAACUACUGGAAUCAAGCUUUACCAAUAACUGACAAUGAGGCUUUUACAUCUCUGUGGAGGAAUUUUGUUCUGCUCUUCUUUACAGAAUUGUUUCAAUUCAGACACACUGGAGGAUUUUCCAGCAAAAGCAUCCCGUUUAAGAUCAUCCACAGCAUCUCAAUCAGACUUUAACUAGGACACUCCAAAACCUUCAUUUUGUUUAAGUUUUUAAGUUUUGGAUCAUUGUCCUGCUGCACCUGAGCUUGAGGUCAUGAACAGAUGGCCGGACAUUCUCCUUCAAGAUUGUUUGAUAAACAGCAGAAUUCCUGGUUCCAUUAAUUACAGCAAGUUGUUCAGGCCCUGAAGCAGCAAAGCAGCCCCAGACCAUCACACUACCACCACCAUGUUUUACAUUCAGUAUGAUGUUCUUUUUCUAAAAUUAUGU